AAAUCAGGAUUAGACUUUCUUUUUCACUUUGAAGGCAGCUCCACUCCAUGGAAUCGCUUCAUUUGAAAUGAAAGGCCAGAAACAAACAUCUACAUGAAAGGAAAACAGCACCUGAAAACUACAUCACAACAUGGAAAAGUCUACAUCACAGAUGAUGCUAGCUAUUGGCUACCAUUAAUGUCCCCAAACUUGCUGCCUUAAAUAUGCUAUGUAAACCCAGGGCCAGGAAGUGACAGUGUGGUUCCAAAGGCCACAAGCCACCAGGUGACAAAAAGUUAAUUUUCAAAAAUAUUAUGAAAGUGUUUGCUGCUAUUAAAAAUGUAAAAUAUUCAGUUUUGUUUGCUUAUACUCUAUUUUGUUCCAAAAAGGAUUAAAAUAUCUAAAAAACAAACAGAAGAGGCUCAGGUUUCUAAGGAGGGAGGUGGGAGGGAUGGAGUUACAUCUACCAUGCCAACAUCAGGCUGGCUAUGAAUGGGAUGUGGACAGCACUCACAUAAACAUGGAAAGCUUUAAAACCCAACAUCAACACUCAACUCUCCAACUCUUCCAGCACUAAGGGAGGUGGGAACAAAAGGCUUUACCAUCUCUCAUUUGUACCCAAGACUUGGGCGCAAGUCUCCUUUGCAAGUAGUGGGGGUGGCAAAAAGCCACAGAGCACAGAGGUCAAAGUUCUU
rnacentral:lncRNA from 1 species